rnacentral:rRNA from 1 species
UACGGGGGGGGCAAGCGUUGUUCGGAAUUACUGGGCGUAAAGGGCUCGUAGGCGGCCAACUAAGUCGGACGUGAAAUCCCCAGGCUCAACCUGGGAACUGCGUCCGAUACUGGAUGGCUUGAAUCCGGGAGAGGGAUGCAGAAUUCCAGGUGUAGCGGUGAAAUGCGUAGAUAUCGAGAGGAACACCAGUGGCGAAGGCGAGUCCCUGGACAACACCUGACACUGAGGCACGAAAGCCGGGGGAGCAAACAGG